AACAAUUCUAGAAAGACAUUCCAUACUCGAGUGAUACAAGUAUAUAUUUAAGGCAGAACAUGAACUAUGAUUGGAGUAAAUUAAGACAUUUAUAGUCUCUGAGAACAGAAGGGAUUAUGAAGCCUUCUCUCCACAAAUAAUAUAGAAUUUUACCUUUGCAAAUAGCACAAACCUUACAUAAUUUCUCCAUACAUUUUACUUAACUUUAUUUAGAUUUUCUCUUUACAAAAUUUUGCAUAAGUUUAUUGAAGCUGAACUUUGCUCUUUUUUUUUCUAUAGUUCUGCCCUGGCUUUGCUGAGCAGGUUCCCUAAACACAUGGAGACCUCCUCCUUGGGUGAUUUAGCACUUGUUACAUGCCCAUAGAAUCUUUAAAAAUACUCUUGCAGCUAAAUUCAAAUACAAAGGCAAAAGAAAAAAAAAUGUUUUUAAGUGUGAACACCCCCAGUGACAAACAGCUGUUCACUACUACAGUUUAUUGAACCGAAAGAAGGUCUCUCCCCUUCCUGUCCUGCUGGUCUUCUCAAUAGGAGUCACAAAAAUGGAGCGUUUUAACACAACUGGUGAACAGUCUCAUGAGCUGCGUGAAGAUUUGCUAAAUCUGCCAGGAGAGGGCAGCACACCACCUUUCCCUAGCUCCUUUUUUUUUUGAGACCAAAAAAAAAAAGAGUUGGAGACCAGCCUGACCAACAUGGUGAAACCCCGUCUCUACUAAAAAUACAAAAAUUAGCCGGGUGUGGUGGUGCGUGCCUGUAAUCACAGCUACUCAGGAGGCUGAGGUAGGAGAAUUGCUUGAACCUGGGAGGCAGAGGUUGCAGUGAGCUGAGAUUGUGCCAUUGCACUCCAGCCUGGGCAACAGAGCAAGCCUCCGUCUAAAAAAAAAAAAAAAAAAAAAAAAAAAAAAGCCCACCACCCAGAUAGACAGGAGGUAAGUGAGGCAAACGAGGUGGCCUAGAGUAGAGCACAUCACGACCUUCUUUCCUUCUUAUCCCACUCCCUCCCUCUCAGCUAUUCCCAGGGGCUUUGGGUGGAGUGGCUAGACCUGGGGAAAAAGGAUACCCUGGAGGAUGCUGUUAGGUGCACACUUUCUAAUGCUGCUCUGGCAACCUUAGAUGCCACAGCUCUGAAGACCAUCAUCUGGGGUCUUGGCAAAAGGGUGGUGUGUGUAAAAUUAACUUUCGGCCAAUUUACCUUUUUCUUCUCUCUCCAAAGUCUCCAUGCGCUAAAGUCACCUACUUUAAUGCCAAAUUGUUCACCCCAUAUGUCCCAUGUCACCUAUGUAGCCUACCUUCUCUUGCACCACCAAGCAAACACCAAUAACUGACAUAUAUCACUGUCAUUGACAUUUUGCAGUCAUCAACAUUAGUACUUGUUGACAAAAAGAGUCAAACUCUGUAAAAUAUUUGAAGAGAUUUAUUCUGAGCCAAAUAUGAGUGACCAUGACCUGUGACACAGCCCUCAGGGGUCCUGAGAAUAUUUCCCCAGCGUGGUCAGGGUGAAGCUUGCUUUUAUACAUUUUAGGGAGGCAUGAGACAUCAAUGAAAUACAUUGAAACAAUAUAUUGGUUUGGUUCAGAAACGCGAGACAACUCAAAGCUUGGGCGGGGUUGGGGGGAUGGUUCCAGGCUACAGGUAAAUUUCAACAUUUUUUGAUUGAUAAUUGGUUGAGUUUGUUUAAACACUUGAGAUCAAUAGAAAGGAAAUAUUCAGGUUAAGAUAAAAGAUUGUGGAGACCAAGGUUCUUUUGAAGUCUUAAAGUGGCUGCCCUUAGAGACAAUAGAUGACAAAUGUUUCUUAUUUGGACCUUUAAAAAGUACUAGAUUCUUAAUCUUUUCAGGAUUGGGAGGGCCUGAAAGAAAAAGAUCUAGCUACCUUAAUAGAGAUUCUUUACAGAUACAUAUUCCCCCCCCUCCAUGCCCCCCCACCCCCCCAACACACACACAGAGGACAGCUUUGCAGGACCAUUUCAAAAUACAGCAAAGAAACAUGUUUUGGGGUAAAAUAUUUUGACUUUCUUCUUUGUCAUGUAAUGUUAUGCCAGGGUCAGAUUGGAAAGUAAGUCACGGUAUAUAGGGUUAAAUAAAACCAUUCUGAUGAGAAUUUAUGGUUUGUAGGGCAUGACUCUCCAGACCCGUUAGAUAGGAAUUUGUGCAAGCUAAAAAAAUCAGAGCUUAGUCCUCAGACUUCAGAAUUUAUAAGUUGCCUUCCUGUAUUCAGCCAACAAAUUCUUGUUGUGUACUGCUAAACACCAGA
rnacentral:lncRNA from 10 species